UAGAGUGAGGGGGUGACUAGUGACAGAGUGAGGGAAGGGGUGACUAGUGGCAGAGUGAGGGAGGUGGUGACUGUCACUAGCCACCACCUCCCUCUGUCACUACUCCCUCCCUCCUUCGGUCACUAGUCACCCCCUCCGUCCCUUACUCUGUCACUAGUCAUCCCCCUCUCUCACUCUGUCACCAGUCAUCCGCUCACUCUGUCACCAGUCACCCCUUCCUUCCCUCACUCUGCCACUAGUCACCCCUUCCCUCACUC